rnacentral:rRNA from 1 species
AAAUUGAAGAGUUUGAUCAUGGCUCAGAUUGAACGCUGGCGGCAGGCCUAACACAUGCAAGUCGAACGGUAACAGGAAACAGCUUGCUGUUUCGCUGACGAGUGGCGGACGGGUGAGUAAUGUCUGGGAAACUGCCUGAUGGAGGGGGAUAACUACUGGAAACGGUAGCUAAUACCGCAUAACGUCGCAAGACCAAAGAGGGGGACCUUCGGGCCUCUUGCCAUCGGAUGUGCCCAGAUGGGAUUAGCUUGUUGGUGGGGUAACGGCUCACCAAGGCGACGAUCCCUAGCUGGUCUGAGAGGAUGACCAGCCACACUGGAACUGAGACACGGUCCAGACUCCUACGGGAGGCAGCAGUGGGGAAUAUUGCACAAUGGGCGCAAGCCUGAUGCAGCCAUGCCGCGUGUAUGAAGAAGGCCUUCGGGUUGUAAAGUACUUUCAGCGGGGAGGAAGGGAGUAAAGUUAAUACCUUUGCUCAUUGACGUUACCCGCAGAAGAAGCACCGGCUAACUCCGUGCCAGCAGCCGCGGUAAUACGGAGGGUGCAAGCGUUAAUCGGAAUUACUGGGCGUAAAGCGCACGCAGGCGGUUUGUUAAGUCAGAUGUGAAAUCCCCGGGCUCAACCUGGGAACUGCAUCUGAUACUGGCAAGCUUGAGUCUCGUAGAGGGGGGUAGAAUUCCAGGUGUAGCGGUGAAAUGCGUAGAGAUCUGGAGGAAUACCGGUGGCGAAGGCGGCCCCCUGGACGAAGACUGACGCUCAGGUGCGAAAGCGUGGGAGCAAACAGGAUUAGAUACCCUGGUAGUCCACGCCGUAAACGAUGUCGACUUGGAGGUUGUGCCCUUGAGGCGUGGCUUCCGGAGCUAACGCGUUAAGUCGACCGCCUGGGGAGUACGGCCGCAAGGUUAAAACUCAAAUGAAUUGACGGGGGCCCGCACAAGCGGUGGAGCAUGUGGUUUAAUUCGAUGCAACGCGAAGAACCUUACCUGGUCUUGACAUCCACGGAAGUUUUCAGAGAUGAGAAUGUGCCUUCGGGAACCGUGAGACAGGUGCUGCAUGGCUGUCGUCAGCUCGUGUUGUGAAAUGUUGGGUUAAGUCCCGCAACGAGCGCAACCCUUAUCCUUUGUUGCCAGCGGUCCGGCCGGGAACUCAAAGGAGACUGCCAGUGAUAAACUGGAGGAAGGUGGGGAUGACGUCAAGUCAUCAUGGCCCUUACGACCAGGGCUACACACGUGCUACAAUGGCGCAUACAAAGAGAAGCGACCUCGCGAGAGCAAGCGGACCUCAUAAAGUGCGUCGUAGUCCGGAUUGGAGUCUGCAACUCGACUCCAUGAAGUCGGAAUCGCUAGUAAUCGUGGAUCAGAAUGCCACGGUGAAUACGUUCCCGGGCCUUGUACACACCGCCCGUCACACCAUGGGAGUGGGUUGCAAAAGAAGUAGGUAGCUUAACCUUCGGGAGGGCGCUUACCACUUUGUGAUUCAUGACUGGGGUGAAGUCGUAACAAGGUAACCGUAGGGGAACCUGCGGUUGGAUCACCUCCUUA